AACGAACGCUGGCGGCAUGCCUAACACAUGCAAGUCGAACGAGACCUUCGGGUCUAGUGGCGCACGGGUGCGUAACGCGUGGGAACCUGCCCUUAGGUUCGGAAUAACUCCCCGAAAGGGGUGCUAAUACCGGAUAAUGUCUUCGGACCAAAGAUUUAUCGCCUUUGGAUGGGCCCGCGUUGGAUUAGCUAGUUGGUAGGGUAAAAGCCUACCAAGGCGACGAUCCAUAGCUGGUCUGAGAGGAUGAUCAGCCACACUGGGAAUGAGACACGGCCCGGACUCCUGGGGGCGGGAGCUGUGGGGGAUAUUGGACAAUGGGCAAAAGCCUGAUCCAGCAAUGCCGGGUGAGUGAUAAAGGCUUUAGGGUUGAAAACCUCUUUUCCCGGGGAGGAUAAUGACCGCACCGGGAGAAUAAGCCCCGCCUAACUCCGUC
rnacentral:rRNA from 1 species